UACGUAGGGGGCAAGCGUUGUCCGGAAUCAUUGGGCGUAAAGCGCGUGUAGGCGGCCCGAUAAGUCCGCUGUGAAAGUCCAGGCUCAACCCUGGGAUGCCGGUGGAUACUGUCGGGCUCGAGUCCGGAAGAGGAGUGUGGAAUUCCUGGUGUAGCGGUGAAAUGCGCAGAUAUCAGGAGGAACACCAAUGGCGAAGGCAGCUCGCUGGGACGGUACUGACACUGAGACACGAAAGCGUGGGGAGCAAACAGG
rnacentral:rRNA from 1 species